rnacentral:siRNA from 1 species
UUGGAUCGAGUGGUGUACUUCGC